GUUUGUUGCUUUGUUUAACGCAUCCAAACAGAUUUUUUUAAGCUUUUAAUUUGAAUUGAAGUGUUCUGAGAGCGCAUGUAUCCUGUGAGAGGCGUGAGAGGUGAGCAAGGUGAGCUUGUAUGCCGUGCUCUGUGACCUGAUGUGUCUGUGUUCACCUUGGACCUGUAGUUCCGUCCUGCACGCAUUACUGUCUCCUGGUGCUUCAGAUGAACCCUCGAGCCCUGACCUUCGUCUACACUGUGGUGUUCAACUCAUGAUUGUAAAUGUGAGAAAAUGUGUCAUGCACAGGAGCCCAGAAGUGUCCCAGAGAGAGCCAGGAGCUGUGCGGUGUCUCCUCCGCAGCGCUGCUUCCCCGAUGACAUUCGGUACCAGGCAGGACGACAGCUGCUGUCCCUCCAAGGAUGCCCCUGGAGCCGCGAGAGCCGAGGAGCCCGCCUGGCUCAGGCCACAGGCGUCUCGCCACCUCCCUCGCGCAUGGUAAACUCGCUGGGCUCUGGGCAGGGCCCCUGUCCGUGUCACUGCUGGGAUCUGCCUGCGUGUGGUAGGGGGUGCAUCACUGUUUGGCGGUGGAACCACUGAGCUACAUCCCCGGCCCUUGCUGGAUUUUAAAUGAAGAGCUUUGUGCACCGGGGCUGGCCUUGGGUAGAGUAGGAAGCUAGCAUAGAAUAAAAACUACAAAGUGCCUGCUGCAUAUAACACAAGCCUGUGUUCCGCAUGCGCCCUGGGACCCCUGAGACCCAGGCCCAGGACCCCGAACUCCCCCGUGCCCUGAGCAAGUCACACAGGUGCUGGCUGACAGGCAUGGGUUUUGUCAGUGAGCCACAGGACCUGUGACCAUUCAGCAGGGCCAGAGAACAGAACCCGGGGUGCCCGUCUGAAAGACAAGGGGCAGCCCGGUCAGGAGCACGGCAGCAUCUUCCCGUGCCAGCCCACCCCAUCUGUAGGGGAAAGACUUGACCUUGAGGGUUGAGGACAGCGGUUUUGCUGGUUGAGAAGCCCUGAGAAGCCCUCAUCUGCUCCCUGGAAAUUAAACACUGCUUGAGGGCGCACUCACGCCCACAGCCCUUCUGCCGCCUGGAGAGAACAGGAACUUGGGUGGGGCCUGCCCUGCUGACCUGCAGCUCUCAGUGGUGCUGAACUAAAAUCGUUCUCUAUUUUUUUUGCUGGUAAAACUUUUUAAAGUUUUAUAUUUUUCAGGAGUAAUUCUGUUGUUAUUUUAGUUUUACAUAAUAGUUGCACUUAUGUGAGGUGAGGAGUCUGUUUAUGCUUCUGAACCCCUUGAUUGGAGGGGAAGCAUACAAUGUAGGGACGUUUGCCCUUUUUCAGCUCUUGUCAUUGGAAUUCUCCAAGUGAUUGCAUUUUUUUAACUCUUUCCCUUUCUUGUGAAACCAAAUAUCUGAUAAAUAAAACUAUGUGAUUAAUUA
rnacentral:lncRNA from 1 species